UACGUAGGUGGCAAGCGUUAUCCGGAUUUACUGGGUGCAAAGGGCGUGUAGGCGGUUUUGCAAGUCAGAUGUGAAAUCUCCGGGCUUAACCCGGAAACUGCAUCUGAAACUGCAGAACUUGAGUACUGGAGAGGAUAGUGGAAUUCCUAGUGUAGCGGUAAAAUGCGUAGAUAUUAGGAGGAACACCAGUGGCGAAGGCGGCUUCCUGGUCCGUACCUGACGCUAAGAUGCGAAAGUGUGGGGAGCAAACAGGAUUAGAUACCCUGGUAGU
rnacentral:rRNA from 1 species